GUGGGUGUGGGCUAACUUUUAAGCCGCUUGCCUUCCCGGCAAGAGAUAGUGGUGCAAAUCCGCUCACCCGCUCCA
rnacentral:tRNA from 1 species